rnacentral:rRNA from 1 species
UACGAAGGGGACUAGCGUUGUUCGGAAUCACUGGGCGUAAAGCGCACGUAGGCGGAUUUGUAAGUCAGGGGUGAAAUCCCGGGGCUCAACCUCGGAACUGCCUUUGAUACUGCGAGUCUUGAGUCCGAUAGAGGUGGGUGGAAUUCCUAGUGUAGAGGUGAAAUGCGUAGAUAUCAGGAGGAACACCUGAGGCGAAGGCGGGCUACUGGGCUGAUACUGACGCUGAUGCGCGAAAGCCAGGGGAGCAAACGGG